ACCUCACUGUCCUUUUACUGGAAGCAGAGAAUGGUCAUUCCUUCAUACCUACCUUCUUCCCUCUUUGCACUCUGCCCAUUCCCUUCCAGUCUGAGUUGCUCUACUGAGUUGCCCUAGGUGCUGGUUGGUAUACUGUCCUCUAUUUUUACCUAUUUCACAUUUCUUCACAUAUUUUCCACCCCACCUUUUCUCUCUAUUUUUACUCCUUGGCCUUCUCCUUCUUGCACAACUCUCAGUAUACUUUUGUCCCGCAAAAAUUAUCUAGCUUAGUCAUCUUCUCUCCUCCUAGGGUACCCAUUAAGUUACCACUCAAAUCAGUCUCCAUUGCUCUCCACAAAGUGAUGGCUGCAUCCAGCCAUGUCAAGUAACACAAAAUUAAAGAAAAUAAAACAAAACAAAUCAGAAGAUAUAGAAAAAAGGGGUUAUUUGAAUUCGAUGCUCCCAUUCCCUGAAAUCAUUGCACCUCCAGGCAAAUUAAGAGAAACAAGAAAAGCAGGAUUUGGAAAUAACCUAACACAGCCCUCCAUCUAGGGGAAGAAACAGUGUCUAGAAUAGAA
ensembl:lncRNA